rnacentral:lncRNA from 10 species
CAGGGAUAUGGCUGAUCUGUAUUUUCCUUCUCUCCUUUCAGGGAAAAGAGAUGCUUUUCCAGCAGGGACCCAGGGCUCUGGCCAUGUGGAAGCCCAGGGGCUGGUCACUUACACUUUCCGGGUGCGCGGGCGGAGCCGGCGGAGUGCCUGGGGCACCUGCUCUGAGUCAUAGGGCGACUGGUAAAAGAAGAUCCGGACGUCCUCAUCCAUCAGCACCCAGACCGGCAGGCUGAGCAGGCUCUGUGUGGGUGAGACAGCAGAACCGGUGGGGUAGUCAGCAGAAAGAUCUGGACACCCCAGCCUAGAUGUCCCGUCCCCGAGCCCUGACAUCAGCCCUCCUCUCUUUACUAAUGCAUGAUGCCUGAUAACAGAAAUGCGUUGUUUAAAAGAAUAAGAAAACUCAGCAUGCUGAAGGUAACACUUCACAAGCUCUGCUCCUGGGUCCAAGGUCAGGAGAGGGACCAGGGGCUUGAGAAGAGUCCAUUUGGAAAAGACUUAAAGUUCUCCAGAAACAGCAGUAAUGGUGAUGACAACUAACAUGACCCGGCGGUGACUUUACCAGUUGAGGAAACUGAUGCUUGGAGAGGGAAAGUACCUGGCCCAGAGGAGCCGAGCUAAGUGACAGGGCCCGGACUUGAGCCCUAGUGUCCUUGUUUCAUCCAAGCUGGUUACACCCACCACGAUGCAAAGACUUUGAAGCUGUGAGGACGCGAGCACCCAGAGCCUGGCGGGGUCAUCUCACCAAACUCCAAGCGCACAGGUCUGGGGACACUGAGGGUUGGCUUUGGGUGCUGAGGCUCCAGAGGCACCCAGAGCCCUGCAGAGGAUCCCAUGGGGGCAGCAGGAUGAGGUGGGGUCGGGGAACUUUGUCCGAGAGGAACUGGGGAUGCAGAGCCCGGAAAAGGCUGUCAUAUGGGGACAGCCUGGGAGGUGUUUAAGGAGCCAGGGGCUCCUGGGAUCGAAUCCCAGCUCUGCCUGUCACCAGCUGGGUGGCUUUGGGCAAACCUGGCUCCAGAUGGUCAUUAAUAAAAUGGGGACAAUAAUAGCCUCUCCCUCGUGGGAUUGUGUGAGAAUUAAAUGAGUAAAUACAUGCAGAAUCCUUAGAACAACACCAGGCAUAUACCAGGUGCCCAUCAAAGUUAGAUGUCAUCAUUGUUACUGUGAUUUUCAUUACAACGAGGCACAGUGGGUAAGAGCUCAAACCCUGGAGUCACAGAGAUGUGAAUUCAAAUCUCAUCCCACCUACCUAACU